AACGCGAAGAACCUUACCUACUCUUGACAUCCAGAGAACUUUCCAGAGAUGGAUUGGUGCCUUCGGGAACUCUGAGACAGGUGCUGCAUGGCUGUCGUCAGCUCGUGUUGUGAAAUGUUGGGUUAAGUCCCGCAACGAGCGCAACCCUUAUCCUUGUUUGCCAGCGAGUAAUGUCGGGAACUCCAGGGAGACUGCCGGUGAUAAACCGGAGGAAGGUGGGGACGACGUCAAGUCAUCAUGGCCCUUACGAGUAGGGCUACACACGUGCUACAAUGGCGCAUACAGAGGGCGGCCAACUUGCGAGAGUGAGCGAAUCCCAAAAAGUGCGUCGUAGUCCGGAUCGGAGUCUGCAACUCGACUCCGUGAAGUCGGAAUCGCUAGUAAUCGUGGAUCAGAAUGCCACGGUGAAUACGUUCCCGGGCCUUGUACACACCGCCCGUCACACCAUGGGAGUGGGCUGCAAAAGAAGUAGGUAGUUUAACCUUCGGG
rnacentral:rRNA from 1 species